ensembl:misc_RNA Metazoa_SRP Metazoan signal recognition particle RNA
GCCAGGUGUGGUGGCGCGUGCCUGUAAUCCCAGCUACUGGGGAGGCUGAGGUGGGAGGAUCGCUUGACUCCAGGAGUUCUGGACUGCAGUGCGCUAUGCGGAUCGGGCGUCCGCACUAAGUUCAGCAUCAAUAUGGUGACCUCCCGGGAGCGGGGACCACCAGGUUGCCUAAAGAGGGGUGAGCUGGCCCAGGUCGGAAAUGGAGAAGGUCAGAAGUUGGACCCCAUUAACCUGUAAAAAUGUAGAUAGGGUCCUAUAAGCUCAACUCACUACCCCAGUGACCCAAGGAGCUCAACUCGU